AAAAUGACUCUCGGCAACGGAUAUCUCGGCUCUCGCAUCGAUGAGAACGCAGCGAAAUGCGAUACUUGGUGUGAAUUGCAGAAUCCCGUGAACCAUCGAGUCUUUGAACGCAAGUUGCGCCCUAAGCCUUAGGGCUGAGGGCACGUCUGCCUGGGUGUCACG
rnacentral:rRNA from 1 species